rnacentral:lncRNA from 1 species
GGCCCUGAGCUAUACAUUUUAUCAGGUAUCCCUUGGUGAGUUCUAACAAAGCAUCUAGCUUUUUCCUCUACUCUGAUGCUGUGUGACAAAACCUAACCACAGGAUAGAUGACCAAAUGUAUCUUUUAAUUUGCCUGGAAGUUCUGAAGGGAAUGGAGGACCAACGCAGUGAAACAAUUCUCUGAGGAGAGCCAGCAUCUCUGUUCUGUGCAGCACUCAGCCUGCUCUCUUGGCUCAACAGUAAGAAUACCA